rnacentral:lncRNA from 8 species
UGAAACUGCCUGUUGUGUAAAUCUCCCAUUAUUUCUACACAGUCACAGUAACAGCAGGUGUACUGGCCAUCUCAGAGGAAAUAGGUAAGAGGAAAAAAUUUUCAUCCUAAAAUGCAGAGUUCAAAUCAUUUGCGUUCAUCUACAGUUUAAGCCGUUUUAUUCCAAACAUGUUUAUUACAAAGACGUUUAAUUGUCCUUAAUGCUCUCUUUCACUCUCAAAUGAUGUAGCUGUCUACCCCGCCAUGCUUUUUGGAUCAAAGGCUCAAGUUAGAAAGGGAGACACUAUAGAUUUGAAGUGUAAUAUCUCUGGCAUCAUAAGAUUCUGGGACAAGGUUCAUGUGUACAUUUACAAGAAUGGAGUUGAGAUGGCAAUGAAGGUUUUGGAGAAAGGUGAAGAUGACGCUAUUUUCACCAUGAAGGAUGUUACAAGAGAAGACUCAGGCAACUACAGCUGUGUGUACACCAGAGAUAAACUUCUACUGGAUCAAGUGAAAUCAGCAGGCAAGAAUUUAGUAGCCAUCUGUGUCUAUGAAGAGGCUGCACAUGAUGUGAUACUGGUCAAUGUAAUCCGACUGAUAAGUUCAGCUGUUGUGGUCAUACUUCUGCUGACUGUAGUGGCUGUUAGUUCAUGCUGUUCAAAAACAGGUAAUUAUGAUGAUGUCUCUUUUCUGAAUGACAUACACUAGUAAUCUACUGACAGAUAACAACUUUUGGUAACCCUUCCUAUGAAUACUCUCGUCAUAAUGCAUUACAAGCACACGUACACUGAGUAUACAAAACAUUAGGAACACCUUUUCUUUCCAUGACAUAGACUGACCAGGUGAAUCCAGGUGAAAGCUAUGAUCCCUUAUUGAUGUCACUUGUUAAAUCCACUUCAAUCAGUGUAGAUGAAGGGGAGGAGACAGGUUAAAGAAGAAUUUUUAAGCCUUGAGACAAUUGAGACAUGGAUUGCGUAUGUGUGCCAUUCAGAGGGUGAAUGGGCAAGACAAAAGAUUUAAGAGCCUUUGAAUGGGUAUGGUUGUAGGUGCCAGGCGCUCUGGCUUGUGUCAGGAGCUGCAACGCUGCUGGGCUUUUCCACGUUCAACAGUUUCCUGUGUGUACUUGACAACUGUGGGAAGCAUUUGAGUAAACAUGGGCCAGCAUCCCUGGGGAAAGCUUUCAACACCUUGUAGAGUCCAUGUCCCGACUAACUGAGGCUGUUCUGAGGGCAAGGAGGGGGGGACUCAAUAUUAGGAAGUUGUUCAUAAUGUUUGGUAUACUCAGUGUAUAACGCCUUAUGAGACAUGCAUAACACAUUAUAAUUGCAGUCGCUAAUAACUGCUCUUAAAUAUAACUACAUUCAUGGAGCAUUAAACACUAGUUUUACUGUAUUCCUCACACAUGGCAUCAUUGUGAUUGAACCUAUAACAAGGGAUUAUGCUGUUACAUUUUAGUGGGAUAUAAAUUAUCAAUGGGCUUUUAUUUGUCUGUUGGCAAAAAGUUAUUAACAUGCUAAGAUAUGUGUUAAUAUAUUGUAGAGAAAAGAGCCAAGCAGCGACUGCCCAAGGAAGAUACUUGAGGUAAGCCUAAUAAUAGUCUAUUAUCAUAUUCAUAGUAAUGUUGCACAACAAGAGAUAUCGAACCAAUGGACUUUGUUUCAUUUUCACAGGCACUGAAGCUAAAAAGGACUACUACAGUAUGUACUGUAAUCUGCCAACCUGGUCCAAUGGUACAAUUUGACGGUGACCCCAAGGGGCAAGUUUGCUUUACAGGGACAGCCUUUUGUCGAGAAAAUGUGGGAAAUGAAUGAGCAACCUACAAUCAAUAACCAAUGAUACUUUUCUCAAUGGUUAUUUGUAGUACUGUUUUUGGCUUUAUCUGCUAUACAUGUGUUGUAACAUUACCUGAUGCUAUGGGGUAGUGACGUUCACUGUAAAGGAAUUAAUUCAGAAUAUAUUGACAGAAUGCUUAAGAAUGUAUAUAGUUUGUUUAUUGGUAUAAUUAAGCAAUAAGGCACUAGGGUGUGUGGUUUAUGGCCAAUAUACCACGGCUAAGGGCUGUUAUUAUGAAUACCAUAUAGCCAUAUAUCACAAAUCCCUGAGGUGACUUAUUUCUAUUAUAAACUGGCUACCGGUGUAAUUAGAGCAGUAAAAAUAAAUGUUUUGUCAUACCCAUGGUAUACGGUCUGAUAUAUCACGGCUGUCAGCCAAUCAGCAUUCAGGGCUGGAACCACCCAGUUAAUAAUUCAUCUUAAGAUUCAGGAGUAUAAGGCUUUUUUUGUAUAUUGAAGGAAAACUCCACCCAAAAACUAUAUUUUGGUAUUUGUUUCAUUAGUCCAUUGUUGAUAUAGUCCCAAAAUGUUUUGCAUGUCAUCAAUCAAGUUUAGAAAAUAUGUAACUUUAAAAAUACUGAUAUCUGGCACAUAUAAUGCAUUUUGCAUCAUCUGAUACAAAAUGCACAAUACGGGCCAGAUUUCUGUAUUUUGAAAGUUAUAUAUCUUCAAAACUUCAUUGUUGACAUGCAAUGGACUAAUGAAACAAAUACCAAAAGAUAGUUUUUGGAUGAAGUUUUUUUUAAUAGAUAU